rnacentral:rRNA from 1 species
UGAACAAUCAAAAGGUGAUCCUGCUCAAUGGUGGUAAUUAUAAAGGUUAAACCCUAGAAAUUUCCCCUCAAAAAGGAUGCGGGUAUACUACCGUAAUUAAUGUAGCAUAAUAAUUCGCCCAUUUAAUUAAUGGAUGGUAUGAAAGGUCAAACGAGUAUAUCACUGUCUUAAUUAGAGAUAUUGUGAAAAUAGGCUAAUAGUAAAGACACUAUUUUAAAUUGUAAGACGAAAAGACCCUAUAGAGCUUGACUAUAACUUUCUGGUAAAAAUAAAUUUAUUUAUUUAUUAGAAAGGUAGGUAGUUUAGUUGGGGUGACUGUUUUCUAUAACAAACGAGAACGAUCAAAAUUAAUCUGUUAAUUUACUGUAUAACUUAUAAGUUUAACAGUUAUCAUAAUAGGAGAAAAUGACCCGUUGCACAAAAUCAAUUACUGGCAACGAUCUACAAAUAAAAGCUACCUUAGGGAUAACAGGAUAAUAUUGCCUUAGAGUUCAUACA